rnacentral:rRNA from 1 species
AGAGUUUGAUCCUGGCUCAGGACGAACGCUGGCGGCGUGCCUAAUACAUGCAAGUAGAACGCUGAAGAGAGGAGCUUGCUCUUCUUGGAUGAGUUGCGAACGGGUGAGUAACGCGUAGGUAACCUGCCUUGUAGCGGGGGAUAACUAUUGGAAACGAUAGCUAAUACCGCAUAACAAUGGAUGACACAUGUCAUUUAUUUGAAAGGGGCAAUUGCUCCACUACAAGAUGGACCUGCGUUGUAUUAGCUAGUAGGUGAGGUAACGGCUCACCUAGGCGACGAUACAUAGCCGACCUGAGAGGGUGAUCGGCCACACUGGGACUGAGACACGGCCCAGACUCCUACGGGAGGCAGCAGUAGGGAAUCUUCGGCAAUGGGGGCAACCCUGACCGAGCAACGCCGCGUGAGUGAAGAAGGUUUUCGGAUCGUAAAGCUCUGUUGUAAGUCAAGAACGAGUGUGAGAGUGGAAAGUUCACACUGUGACGGUAGCUUACCAGAAAGGGACGGCUAACUACGUGCCAGCAGCCGCGGUAAUACGUAGGUCCCGAGCGUUGUCCGGAUUUAUUGGGCGUAAAGCGAGCGCAGGCGGUUUGAUAAGUCUGAAGUUAAAGGCUGUGGCUCAACCAUAGUUCGCUUUGGAAACUGUCAAACUUGAGUGCAGAAGGGGAGAGUGGAAUUCCAUGUGUAGCGGUGAAAUGCGUAGAUAUAUGGAGGAACACCGGUGGCGAAAGCGGCUCUCUGGUCUGUAACUGACGCUGAGGCUCGAAAGCGUGGGGAGCGAACAGGAUUAGACACCCUGGUAGUCCACGCCGUAAACGAUGAGUGCUAGGUGUUGGAUCCUUUCCGGGAUUCAGUGCCGCAGCUAACGCAUUAAGCACUCCGCCUGGGGAGUACGACCGCAAGGUUGAAACUCAAAGGAAUUGACGGGGGCCCGCACAAGCGGUGGAGCAUGUGGUUUAAUUCGAAGCAACGCGAAGAACCUUACCAGGUCUUGACAUCCCGAUGCUAUUUCUAGAGAUAGAAAGUUACUUCGGUACAUCGGUGACAGGUGGUGCAUGGUUGUCGUCAGCUCGUGUCGUGAGAUGUUGGGCUAAGUCCCGCAACGAGCGCAACCCCUAUUGUUAGUUGCCAUCAUUCAGUUGGGCACUCUAGCGAGACUGCCGGUAAUAAACCGGAGGAAGGUGGGGAUGGCGUCAAAUCAUCAUGCCCCUUAUGACCUGGGCUACACACGUGCUACAAUGGUUGGUACAACGAGUUGCGAGUCGGUGACGGCAAGCUAAUCUCUUAAAGCCAAUCUCAGUUCGGAUUGUAGGCUGCAACUCGCCUACAUGAAGUCGGAAUCGCUAGUAAUCGCGGAUCAGCACGCCGCGGUGAAUACGUUCCCGGGCCUUGUACACACCGCCCGUCACACCACGAGAGUUUGUAACACCCGAAGUCGGUGAGGUAACCUUUUGGAGCCAGCCGCCUAAGGUGGGAUAGAUGAUUGGGGUGAAGUCGUAACAAGGUA